CAGUCAAAGUGGCUGUGAUAUGU
rnacentral:miRNA from 10 species